UACGGUAGGGGGCGAGCCGUUGUCCGGAGUUCUGGGCGUAAAGGGCAUGCAGGCGGUCGGACGCGUUUCGGGUGACAGCGGGUGGCUUAACUACCCGAGUGGUCGAAAGACGGUUUGACUUGGAGGAGCGCGAGAGGGACACGGAAUUCCGGGUGAGUGGUGAAAUGCGUAGAGAUCCGGAGGAACACCGAAGCGAAGGCAGUGUCCUGGGCGCGAAUGACGCUGAGGUGCGAAAGCCAGGGAGCGAACGGG
rnacentral:rRNA from 1 species